rnacentral:snRNA from 1 species
AGAUGUGAGGGCGAUCUGGCUGCGACAUCUGUCACCCCAUGGAUCGCCAGGGUGGAUUCCGCUGAUCUGGCUGACUAGGCGGGCGUCCCCCUCCUCUCUCACCGAUCCAUGUGCGUCCCUCCCUAAGCUGCAUGCUCCAUAGUCAAAGAGGAGAGUGCCCGUCUUCAGUCCAGGGUAUACCAGUAGCUGUGCUCUCCUGCUAGAACCUCCAAACAUGCUCUCAAGAAGUACAAAUUGGUGGAUGCAAAAUAGUCAUGGUGCUGUAAAGUACAGCAUACGGAAUAUAGUCAUAUUACUAUUGUA